AUUGAACGCUGGCGGCAGGCCUAACACAUGCAAGUCGAGCGGGGUUUUCGGACCUAGCGGCGGACGGGUGAGUAAUGCGUAGGAAGCUACCCGAUAGAGGGGGAUACCAGUUGGAAACGACUGUUAAUACCGCAUAAUGUCUACGGACCAAAGUGUGGGACCUUCGGGCCACAUGCUAUCGGAUGUGCCUACGUGGGAUUAGCUAGUUGGUGAGGUAAUGGCUCACCAAGGCGACGAUCCCUAGCUGGUUUGAGAGGAUGAUAAGCCACACUGGAACUGGGACACGGUCCAUACUCCUACGGGAGGCAACAGUGGGGAAUAUUGGACAAUGGGCGCAAGCCUGAUCCAGCCAUGCCGCGUGUGUGAAGAAGGCCUUCUGGUUGUAAAGCACUUUCAGUAAGGAGGAAGCGUUGAGUGUUAAUAGUACUCAGCGUUGACGUUACUUACAGAAGAAGCACCGGCUAACUCUGUGCCAGCCGCCGCAGUAACAC
rnacentral:rRNA from 1 species